rnacentral:tRNA from 1 species
GGUGGCUUGGCCGAGCGGUUAUGGCGCUAGUUUCAGGCUUAACUGAAGCAGAUAUACUCUGUAUAUAAUACUAGUUCGAAAGAGCGUGGGUUCGAAUCCCACAGCCAUCA